rnacentral:rRNA from 1 species
UACGUAGGGCGCAAGCGUUUGUCCGGAAUUAUUGGGCGGUAAAGAGCUCGUAGGCGGCUUGUCACGUCGGGUGUGAAAGCCCGGGCUUAACCCCGGUCUGCAUUCGAUACGGGCUAGCUAGAGUGUGGUAGGGGAGAUCGGAAUUCCUGGUGUAGCGGUGAAAUGCGCAGAUAUCAGGAGGAACACCGGUGGCGAAGGCGGGUCUCUGGGCCGAUACUGACGCUGAGGAGCGAAAGCGUGGGGAGCGAACAGG